rnacentral:rRNA from 1 species
CCUACGGGGGGCAGCAGUGGGGAAUAUUGGACAAUGGGGGGAACCCUGAUCCAGCCAUGCCGCGUGUGUGAAGAAGGCCCUCGGGUUGUAAAGCACUUUCAGUGAGGAAGAACGCCUGGUGGUUAAUACCCAUCAGGAAAGACAUCACUCACAGAAGAAGCACCGGCUAACUCCGUGCCAGCAGCCGCGGUAAUACGGAGGGUGCGAGCGUUAAUCGGAAUUACUGGGCGUAAAGCGCGCGUAGGUGGCUUGAUAAGCCGGUUGUGAAAGCCCCGGGCUCAACCUGGGAACGGCAUCCGGAACUGUCAAGCUAGAGUGCAGGAGAGGAAGGUAGAAUUCCCGGUGUAGCGGUGAAAUGCGUAGAGAUCGGGAGGAAUACCAGUGGCGAAGGCGGCCUUCUGGACUGACACUGGCACUGAGGUGCGAAAGCGUGGGUAGCAAACAGGAUUAGAUACCCGUGUAGUC